CUUACUGCAAUCAAUCGAGGAGAAUGUCGAGGUUGAACAAGUCGAGGAUGAGUACGAGGCCCUGGACGAUUCUGUGGAGGUUCGUGGCUUCUCUUUCUGCAUCUCCAAACCUUUUUCCUGCAAAGCCUUCAUGGACUUGUAAUCCUGCUGGUGUUGAGGACCUUUAAACAAACACAAAUUGAAGCACUUCUAGUUAGCAGAAGGGAAUGAAAAAGCAGAGUUGUGGUGCCUGGGUUGAAGAAGACUGAAUUGCAAAUGUUACCUUGAAGCAGCCUCUUGUGGCGGUGGCUGCUACCUCGUCGGGCAGCGAGGAAAUGGUGACGAUCAAAGAGUUGGAAAAUUCCAUUCAUGCAUCCAAUCUGCUUCUGCAGAUCUCGGCUGUCAUCUGUAAGAGGUGGAACUCUCCUAACUGACAUGUUGAAAUCUUCCUUCAAUGCCAAAGACAGAAGAAAUAAGGCAAUUAAAGCCAAGAGAUUAGCCCUGGUUCAAGAUUUCAGGGCAAUCAGAUCCUACUCAUUAUGUAAUUAUUGUAUGAACUGAAAGAAAUGAAGACAAGAAUGGACAGAGCACUUACCAUGAACUGAAAUUGUACAGAGCUGGUGAAAGGCGCCAGGAAUCAGUAAAAGGAAACUCAAGGAUUGUCCCAAAUCUCGUUUCCAACCACCAUUGAAUGCAUCAAAGCAACUGUCAGCAAGAGAUGUUUUAAUACUUCUUGGCUUUCUCACACAACAAUAUGAAUGAAUGGAGGUUAGCUCCCUGACUGUCUUUUGGCUCUCUUUUAAGGUGAGAAUGUGGGUCAGAUCCAAUGUGAAUAUGUGGGACAUCCACACUUUCUAUGGCCAUUUUCUUCCAUGCCCAUGUGGACUUUGGAGCCUCUAGAUUGGCAUGUGGACUUUGUCAGGUAAUAUUAAAUUAUUUCAUUUCUGCACUUGCAAUCCACUUCAAUCUAAACCAAUUUUCAAAACAUCUUCUUUUUCUGGAAAAUCAUCCCUAGAAAAAACCACCACAUUUUUUUCUGGAAAAAAGAAACCAAAAAAAUACUUGCAUCUUAAUUAGCUCCAUUUUCUUGAUUGGUGCAGCAUUUAUUUGCAUGCAUGUAUACACACAUACAUACAUAGGCUUUUUUAAAACAACAGUUACAGCAUUAUCAGCUGGCAAUAUUAAAUUCUGGUGAUAAAAACUUUCAAAAAAGGGGUCACAUAUAGUCAUUAAUGGGCAGUUGAAAUUUAAUCUGUUGCCUCACAUUACUUGUGCUGCCUGCCAUGGAAAAAGAUUAGCUGCUUCUGUACAAUGUCGUUGGAACUAUUCAAUGCUGGAUUUUCUCUGCAACUUCAUUUAGUAAUAACAGGGCUCUCCAGUAGUUCCUAUUAUUGUUAUUACAUUUAUAAUUUUAAAUUUUUAUCUGAACUCUUUGAUAAUCCAUGUGCACUUGAAAUGUUAUUUGGAAAUCUGUAGGAAUCCCUACUAUUUCUUGACCACUGCUGCUUACAAUACACAAAUAAUAAAUAGGAUGGAAGAUGAUAAUGACAUAUAUGUGAGUGUGUGUAGAUUAAGGGACACUAUGAUUCCCCACCUCAUCAAGGAUUGCCUGCCUCUUGCCCUUCAUCUAUUUAUUUCUUUGUGGGAUUUUUUAUAUUGAUUAAUUUUCUUCCUUAUUCUAAACAUGGCUGUCCAAGCUUCACCAGCUAGCAUUUAAAAAACCAAUUAUUGCAGUUUUGGUUAUGAAUUUUGCCAAUUCAUGCAUGAUCAUGCUUGUGGGACAUCAGGUAACAUCAAUACUACUGUUCAUUCUUAUGUUCCCAUGCUUGCCUGAGCUCUCUUUUAUUUCUUUCUUUCUUCCUAUUUGUUAUUAUUAUUAUUUUUAUUAAUUAGGGGUUUUGUAGUCACUGACUGUGAUAUGAUAUUAAUUAAGAUAUUAUUAGUCGAACUUUAAAUCUUUUGAUGUGUAGAUAUAUCAUUGGCUGCAUGUUCUUUGGUCUGAACAAAAAUUAAAGUGAUUGUUAUUGGGCAAAGGUUGCAUUAAAACCUCUUUAAAUUUCUCCACAUAAUUUUAUCCUUGUUGCUCUUUUCAUUUUAUCCUAAACUGAAAGCUGUAGAAAAAUUUAUGAGUAAUUCCAACCACUUAUCUUCUUUCAUUAUUUGAGAAUCAAUGCAAUUAAUUGGUUAUGUGUAUCCUUAGAGAAAUAUCAAUGUGAUUCCUUUACUUCCAAAAUUACUCACUCCUAUAUCUUCCUUUCAACUGUUUACUUUUGUGUAUUAAUUCACUGUAGAACUAUA